rnacentral:rRNA from 1 species
GACGAUCGCUGGCGGCGUGCCUAACACAUGCAAGUCAACUUGACUGAAGGAGCAAUCUGACAGUAGAGUGGCGCAAGGGUGCGUAACGUGUAAGUAACUUGCCCCAAGGUAAGGAAUAACGUCGAGAAAUCGGCGCUAAUACCUCAUAAUGCAGCGGAUCCGCAUGGAUAUGUUGUUAAAGGUUUACCGCCUUGGGAUAGGCUUGCGUCUGAUUAGUUAGUUGGUGUGGUAACGGCACACCAAGGCUACGAUCAGUAACUGGUCUGAGAGGAUGAUCAGUCACACUGGAACUGAGACACGGUCCAGACUCCUACGGGAGGCAGCAGUGAGGAAUAUUGGGCAAUGCUCGAAAGAGUGACCCAGCAACGCCGCGUGGAGGAUGAAGGUAUUCUAUAUCGUAAACUCCUGCGAGAGCAGACGAAAGACAGAUUAUUAAUCUGGAUGACUGUAUGCUCAGAGGAAGCCCCGGCUAACUAC